rnacentral:rRNA from 1 species
CCCGCUGAACUUAAGCAUAUCAGUAGGCGGAGGAAAAGAAACUAACGAGGAUUCCCCUAGUAACUGCGAGUGAACAGGGAUCCCGCUGCUCGACGCUCAAGCCCCGUUAAAGGGCGAGAUGGUUUACUUAGGUUUACCGUCGCGUCGUAGGGGCAGUUUGGCGCAAUGCGUACGCUGCGAUCCAAAAUUGGCGCGCGGCUUUGGGCUAAAGAAGUGUCCGUGAGUGGUCAUUGGCUUUCAAGUUCCCAGAGAGGGUGACAGGCCCGUGCUGGAACAACCUUUCGGGGUUACCGAGCCCUUUGGCCCGCGCUAGGAUCGAUGUGGUUCGCGACGAGUCAGAUUGCUUGAGAGUGCAAUCCCAAGAAUUUGGGGUGGUAAACUCCACCCAAGGCUAAAUAUUUUUCCACCAGACCGAUAGCAAACAAGUACCGUGAGGGAAAGUUGCAAAGAACUCUGAAGAGAGGGUUCAAAAGAACGUGAAACCGAUGGGCGAGAAGCGGGAGGCUUGCCUCGAAAUAUCGAGGGACCGAGAUUCAGCCGGAUGUACCUCGCCGGCGUUUUUCGUGGUCUGGACGCGUGUCGUUCGUCUCUCUACUUCGGUGGGGAAUGGCAAUCCGCGCGUCUGGGCUCGAGUCGCGCAGACGGCGAGUGCUUCGGUGCAUUUCUCGUAAAUGGCCCCCAUAAAAAGGGGCAUUAAUCCCGGAGAGGGGCUUGGCUCUCUAGGGCUAAGCCUCGUUCCCCCAGGUCGUCACCGGGUACCAGCGAAGGCGUGGUUGUGGGAGUAGCGGGAAGUGGAGUAGGGUUGGUUUUCCAUAUCUCUCGCGGGAUUUGGUUACCCUUCAAUUGCCUAUUCGGUCUCGUUACUAACCGUACGCCCUCCGUGUCAAACGGGGGCGGCCGCGGAUGCAACCUUUUGCUGCGCGCCCGGUUCGAUUUCUCUUCGUCGAUGCGCGCUCGUUCGGCGUGCCUCUGCCUGGUGUCGCGCGGAUGUGGCGGGAGAUGGGCGUGGAAUCUUCCUCGAGGAGAACGCGUCUUUCUUUCGUCCUCGCGCGGCGUCGCGUCAGCGGUGCGUCUGACGGGUGUGCUCUUGGCGACGGAGACGAGAAACGACGGCCGAGUAGAGCGGCUCUCCUCCCGACCCGUCUUGAAACACGG